rfam:Oryza sativa (indica cultivar-group) chromosome 8, whole genome shotgun sequence.
AAUAAGUGCAGUUUUGCACUAUUCACGUUCAACGUUUGACCGUUCGACUUAUUUGAAAAAAAAUUUAUGAUUAGUAUUUUUAUUGAUAUUAGAUGAUAAAACAUAAAUAGUACUUUAUGUGUGACUAAAUAUUUUCAAAUUUUUCACAAAUUUUUCAAAUAAGACGGACGGUCAAACGUUGGGCACGAAUAUCCAUGGCUGCACUUAUU